GACGUAGGGCGCGAGCGUUGUCCGGAUUUAUUGGGCGUAAAGAGCUCGUAGGCGGCUUGUCGCGUCGACCGUGAAAACUUGGGGCUCAACCCCAAGCCUGCGGUCGAUACGGGCAGGCUCGAGUUCGGUAGGGGAGACUGGAAUUCCUGGUGUAGCGGUGAAAUGCGCAGAUAUCGGGGAAGAACACCCGUGGCGAAGGCGGCUCUCUGGGACGGUACUGACGCUGAGACGCGAAAGCGUUGGGAGCGAACAGG
rnacentral:rRNA from 1 species